AAAGGAAUAGACGGGGGCCCGCACAAGCGGUGGAGCAUGUGGUUUAAUUCGAUGCAACGCGAAGAACCUUACCAGGUCUUGACAUCCAGAGAAUCCUUUGGAAACAAGGGAGUGCCUUUUUAAGGAGCUCUGAGACAGGUGGUGCAUGGUUGUCGUCAGCUCGUGUCGUGAGAUGUUGGGUUAAGUCCCGCAACGAGCGCAACCCUUGCUAUUAGUUGCUAACAGGUGAUGCUGAGCACUCUAAUGGGACUGCCCGUGACAAGCGGGAGGAAGGUGGGGAUGACGUCAAAUCAUCAUGCCCUUUAUGAUCUGGGCUACACACGUGCUACAAUGGGUGGUACAGAGAGCUGCGAAGCCGUGAGGUGGAGCGAAUCUCAAAAAGCCAUUCUCAGUUCGGAUUGCAGUCUGCAACUCGACUGCAUGAAGUCGGAAUCGCUAGUAAUCGCGAAUCAGCACGUCGCGGUGAAUGCGUUCCCGGGCCUUGUACACACCGCCCGU
rnacentral:rRNA from 1 species